rnacentral:rRNA from 1 species
AGAGUUUGAUCCUGGCUCAGGAUAAACGCUGGCGGCGUGCCUAACACAUGCAAGUCGAGCGGUAAGGCCCUUCGGGGUACACGAGCGGCGAACGGGUGAGUAACACGUGGGUAACCUGCCCUGCACUCUGGGAUAAGCCUGGGAAACUGGGUCUAAUACCGGAUAUGACCUGUCCCUGCAUGGGGGUGGGUGGAAAGCUUUUGUGGUGUGGGAUGGACCCGCGGCCUAUCAGCUUGUUGGUGGGGUAGUGGCCUACCAAGGCGACGACGGGUAGCCGGCCUGAGAGGGCGACCGGCCACACUGGGACUGAGACACGGCCCAGACUCCUACGGGAGGCAGCAGUGGGGAAUAUUGCGCAAUGGGCGAAAGCCUGACGCAGCGACGCCGCGUGAGGGAUGACGGCCUUCGGGUUGUAAACCUCUUUCAGCUCCGACGAAGCUUUCGGGUGACGGUAGGGGCAGAAGAAGCACCGGCCAACUACGUGCCAGCAGCCGCGGUAAUACGUAGGGGGCGAGCGUUGUCCGGAAUCACUGGGCGUAAAGCGCGCGUAGGCGGGAGUGCGCAUCCGGCGUGAAAGCCCCCUGCUCAACGGGGGGAGGUCGCUGGAGAUGGUGCUUCUGGAGGGCGGUAGAGGCAGGUGGAAGUCCCGCAGUAGUGGUGAAAUGCGUAGAGAGCGGGAGGAACACCGGUGGCGAAGGCGGCCUGCUGGGCCGACCCUGACGCUGAGGCGCGAAAGCUAGGGGAGCGAACGGAAUUAGAUACUCCGGUAGUCCUAGCCCUAAACGAUGGAUACCAGGUGCAGGGGGACUCGACCCCCUCUGUGCCGCCGCUAACGCGAUGAGUAUCCCGCCUGGGGAGUACGGCCGCAAGGCUAAAACUCAAAGGAAUUGACGG